rnacentral:rRNA from 1 species
CCUACGGGAGGCAGCAGUGGGGAAUAUUGCACAAUAGGCGAAAGCCUGAUGCAGCAACGCCGCGUGAAGGAAGAAGGGUUUCGGCUCGUAAACUUCUAUCAACAGGGACGAAAGAAAUGACGGUACCUGAAUAAGAAGCCCCGGCUAACUACGUGCCAGCAGCCGCGGUAAUACGUAGGGGGCAAGCGUUAUCCGGAUUUACUGGGUGUAAAGGGAGCGUAGACGGUGAGACAAGUCUGAAGUGAAAGCCCGGGGCUCAACCCCGGGACUGCUUUGGAAACUGCCUGACUGGAGUGCUGGAGAGGCAAGCGGAAUUCCUAGUGUAGCGGUGAAAUGCUUAGAUAUCACGAAGAACUCCGAUUGCGAAGGCAGCUCACUGGACUGCAACUGACACUGAGGCUCGAAAGUGUGGGUAUCAAACAGGAUUAGAUACCCUUGUAGUC